ensembl:ncRNA T05A1.16 ncRNA
AGUUGAUCCAAUGGGUUAUCAGAUAAGUAGAGAUGAGUUAAAGAUGGUAAUUUUGUAAUGGUUUCUGGAAUUGAGGUGAUGGCAGAAGAUGUUAUUUCGAGAUGGGUCAAAUUGGCAAGAUCAGUGAGCUUUUCCUGAAA